rnacentral:misc_RNA from 1 species
GUGAAUCAUCGAAUUUUUGAACGCAAAUUGCGCUUCCUAGCAUCCCGGGAAGUAUGCCUGUUUGAGGGUCAGUAUUAACUAAAAAAUCUGUUUGGUUUCAAAUUUUUACGUUUCCGGAUUUUGUGCUAUCUUAACUUUUUUGGUUAAGGGUCUUAAAAUUGACCUUUUUUGCGCAUUUUUAUUCGUACAUAAAUUUUUUUUUUAUUCGUCUAUUCUUAACUCCAUAAUCUUAUUAGAUUCGGUCACAUCUUGUGGUUUCGUGUCCAUAAAAUUUUCAUGAUUUGACCUCAACUCAGGUAGG